AUUGAACGCUGGCGGCAGGCCUAACACAUGCAAGUCGAGCGCGCGGCGGACGGGUGAGUAAUGUCUGGGAAACUGUCUGAUGUGGGGGGAUAACUACUGGAAACGGUAUCGAAAACCGCAUAUGCUCAGAUGUGCCCACAUGGGAUUAGCUAGUAGGGGGGGUAAUGGCUCACCUAGGCGACGAUCCCUAGCUGGUCUGAGAGGAUGACCAGCCACACUGGAACUGAGACACGGUCCAGACUCCUACGGGAGGCAGCAGUGGGGAAUAUUGCACAAUGGGCGCAAGCCUGAUGCAGCCAUGCCGCGUGUAUGAAGAAGGCCUUCGGGUUGUAAAGUACUUUCAGCGAGGAGGCGUUACUCGCAGAAGAAGCACCGGCUAACUCCGUGCCAGCAGCCGCGGUAAUAC
rnacentral:rRNA from 1 species